AAAAAGAGCUCUGUCAUGAGUGGUACAUGCAGGGCAGCUUGAUUGCCCUGCGUGCAGAAUCGACAUCAAGAGAUUUCGGAAGCAUGAUUUUUUUGGUACCUGGGCAGCUGAUAGUAGGUCCUGGUGCCCUU
ensembl:snRNA